UACGGAGGAUGCGAGCGUUAUCCGGAAUUAUUGGGUUUAAAGGGUGCGUAGGCGGAUUUUUAAGUCAGCGGUAAAAUGUCCGGGCUCAACCCGGGCCGGCCGUUGAAACUGGGGAUCUUGAGUGGGCGAGAAGUAUGCGGAAUGCGUGGUGUAGCGGUGAAAUGCAUAGAUAUCACGCAGAACUCCGAUUGCGAAGGCAGCAUACCGGCGCCCGACUGACGCUGAGGCACGAAAGCGUGGGGAUCGAACAGG
rnacentral:rRNA from 1 species